rnacentral:rRNA from 1 species
GACGAACGCUGGCGGCGUGCUUAACACAUGCAAGUCGAACGGAAAGGCCCUGCUUGCAGGGUGCUCGAGUGGCGAACGGGUGAGUAACACGUGGGUGAUCUGCCCCUUACUUUGGGAUAAGCCUGGGAAACUGGGUCUAAUACUGGAUAGGACCAUGCUGUAGGGGGUGUGGGGGAAAGAUUUUUUCGGUUAGGGAUGAGCCUGCGGCCUAUCAGCUUGUUGGUGGGGUAAUGGCCUACCAAGGCGUCGACGGGUAGCCGGCCGGAGCGGGUGGACGGCCACAUUGUGACUGCGACACGGCCCAGACUCCUACGGGAGGCAGCAGUGGGGAAUAUUGCCCUAUGGGCGCAAGCCCGAUGCAGCGACGCCGGGUGGGGGAUGGCGGACUUCGGGUUGUAAGCACCUUUCAGCCAUGACGAAGCCUCUUUUGGGGUGACGGUAGUGGUAGAAGAAGCACCGGCUAACUACGUG